UUCACCCAGAUUUUAUUUACUCUCUCCUUUGUUCCUGUUCUCCUCAGGCCACCAGUGAAAAGACUGUAGGGUCACAUAGCUCAUACCAUUUCAAGGAUUCGUUGUCUAACUGGAGAUUGGCGGCACAUCCCUGGACCCACAGUUCAGGAUUAGAGAAUUUCCAGCUGCACAGAAUGUCCUUGGAAGGCUGACCCAGACCAUCUUGAGGAGGGACAUGAUUCAUCUCCAGGAGCUGCUGGUCCACAGAGGUGGCCUGUUUCCUAUGUUAGAAGGAGCCGCUCAGCACCCAGGGAAAAGAGAGAGGGGUGA
rnacentral:lncRNA from 1 species